rnacentral:lncRNA from 1 species
GAGAGCAUCACUUAUUUACGUUACGAACACAGAGUAUUCUAGAGAGAGAGAGAGGAGGGAGAAACAGAGAGGAGGAAGGGAUAGAGUUGCCACCUGAGUAUUAGCCUCCCCGUACCACGUAAGAGAGUAGUCACCGGAAGACAUCUUGCCAUCGCCUGCAAUCAAAACAAGGAGACGAUAAACUAAUCGAAUUGAACAUGAGAGCGACUCAUCAGCUUCAGAAACCCAAAUUUUUAUAACUGACAGCGCUGCCUGCAUCAAAUAUGUCGAGCAAGCUGCUGCUGUUCUCCUUCCUCUCGCAUAAUAAAGUCACUAUGUUUCUCUCUCUAGCAUCUAUGAAAGAGAAAAGAAAGAUACGCUCUUGCCCAGUAAUAUAAUCCCUGCGAAGGACACGAUUCUCCCUUCAUACAAGUUACAGACGCCUCUCUCUCUCUCUCUCUCUCUCUCUCUCUCUGUCUAUCUGUGAUAUAUGAAAUGGAAGUGAAAAACAAGAGCUUGAAACCGGAGGAACCCACUGUUCUUCCGCUGGUUCAGUCUCUCAAUAAAAUAACCUCUCUUGAAGCCAUUACUUGCCUGUUUCGCUCUCCUCUCUCUGACAUGUAAGAACGAGAAAAAAACGACCCAGCGCUUUGUGGAGCGUAAACUCUCUCCGUAUAGUCGUCUGUGCAGCAGACAUAUUUUACCAUUCUUCUCUCUCUCUCUCUCUCUCUCUCUCUCUCUCUCUCUCGCUAGAGUGUACGAAGGACUAGGAGACAGGAAGGGGCCGUCUGCUGUUCUUGGGAUGGUAAUCAAAGCUUAGGAGGAUGGAAUCUAAGAGAUGGGGGGGAGGAACGGAGAGCCCCUCAAGAGGUGAGAGUUUCUCGAAGAAGAGUUUGCACCUGGUUUCCUCGUUCCCUUCUUCUCGGUGUCCCUCUGCCCUCCCCUCGGCAUUUCGCCUUUGCCAUGGCGCCGGAGUUCCUGUAGACGACUGAGGACCCUUAGAAGAAGAUGAUGAUGAUGAUUAUUUGAGGUGGAGAAGAAGACGGGGAAACGUGUGGAAUAGGAGGAGAAGAUGAUGAUGACGACGACGAUGAUGAUUAGAGGCGGAGAAGAUGAGGACAAGAGGGUAGGAGACGAAAGCAAUGCUGAUGAUGAUCGUCAUCCUAAAGAAGAAGAAGAAGAUGGUGGUGAUGAUGAUGAUGAUGAUGAAGAAGAAGAGGAGGAAGAGAAGCUCUUACAGGACGACCAUGGAGGGCCCAAUCAGCGUUUGCCUGCCUCCCAAGCUCGACAACUAAAGCAACAUGAAAGAAGAGAGAGGUUAUGGAAGAGAGAAGAAGAAGAAAUUUCAACAGUAAACGCGCAGGAAGAAAGAGGGGAGAUACCUGCAGGGGGGCGCGCUGUAGAGCCCCCUGGAGCAGCGCAGGAGGACAAAAAGAUGAGUGCCAGGCCGAUGAAGCUCACAGUCGCCAUGGAUGUCUCCCUAUUGCCUUCCCUAAAGUAGAGAGAGAAAGAAAGAGAGGUGGGCUGAAGGGCAACGUAUGUUUGUUAAUCACCAACACGGACACAGAAGGAGAAAAAUGGCCGCAAUAUCUUCCGUUUAGAGAGAGAGAGAGAGAGAGAGAGAGA